UGAGUUUCAAUCGUUCAUCCCUAAAAUGUGUUCUUCCAAACCCUAACUGAAGAAUAUUUUUGUCUUCAAUCCUUUUUCUUCAUCCUGGCUUGUCUUCAACAUUCAUUUUCUUCUUUAAUCGUUUUAGUCUCAUCCUGCAUAUAUUUCGUCUUCAAUCGAUUUCAUCUCCGUCUUCAAUCAGAUGAGGAGUAUAAGCGGUGUAGGCGGAGAGCCAUUCGGCGGCGUGAUAAGAGAUCUGAGACGAUUUUCAUUUGAGAUUUUCCCGAAUCUUCAGUACUACACGAUCCUGGAUUCUUGAGGAGUAUGAGUGAAUUCUGAUAAGAGUUGUGUGCUUUUGAAAUUAUAAAAUAUUUGCAGGAAAA